GCAGAGUAAGAAUGUAUGCGUUAAGUGCUGAUCGGACGGGGAGUUGUCGGUCGGACGAAGAGCGAAGGCUUGCGGUGUACGUUCUGCAUCCCGCUGU
rnacentral:ncRNA from 1 species